GAACGCUGGCGGCGUGCCUAAUACAUGCAAGUCGAACGAGUUCUCGUUGAUGAUCGGUGCUUGCACCGAGAUUCAACAUGGAACGAGUGGCGGACGGGUGAGUAACACGUGGGUAACCUGCCCUUAAGUGGGGGAUAACAUUUGGAAACAGAUGCUAAUACCGCAUAGAUCCAAGAACCGCAUGGUUCUUGGCUGAAAGAUGGCGUAAGCUAUCGCUUUUGGAUGGACCCGCGGCGUAUUAGCUAGUUGGUGAGGUAAUGGCUCACCAAGGCGAUGAUACGUAGCCGAACUGAGAGGUUGAUCGGCCACAUUGGGACUGAGACACGGCCCAAACUCCUACGGGAGGCAGCAGUAGGGAAUCUUCCACAAUGGACGCAAGUCUGAUGGAGCAACGCCGCGUGAGUGAAGAAGGCUUUCGGGUCGUAAAACUCUGUUGUUGGAGAAGAAUGGUCGGCAGAGUAACUGUUGUCGGCGUGACGGUAUCCAACCAGAAAGCCACGGCUAACUACGUGCCAGCAGCCGCGGUAAUACGUAGGUGGCAAGCGUUAUCCGGAUUUAUUGGGCGUAAAGCGAGCGCAGGCGGUUUUUUAAGUCUGAUGUGAAAGCCCUCGGCUUAACCGAGGAAGCGCAUCGGAAACUGGGAAACUUGAGUGCAGAAGAGGACAGUGGAACUCCAUGUGUAGCGGUGAAAUGCGUAGAUAUAUGGAAGAACACCAGUGGCGAAGGCGGCUGUCUGGUCUGUAACUGACGCUGAGGCUCGAAAGCAUGGGUAGCGAACAGGAUUAGAUACCCUGGUAGUCCAUGCCGUAAACGAUGAAUGCUAGGUGUUGGAGGGUUUCCGCCCUUCAGUGCCGCAGCUAACGCAUUAAGCAUUCCGCCUGGGGAGUACGACCGCAAGGUUGAAACUCAAAGGAAUUGACGGGGGCCCGCACAAGCGGUGGAGCGCGUGGUUUAAUUCGAAGCAACGCGAAGAACCUUACCAGGUCUUGACAUCUUUUGAUCACCUGAGAGAUCAGGUUUCCCCUUCGGGGGCAAAAUGACAGGUGGUGCAUGGUUGUCGUCAGCUCGUGUCGUGAGAUGUUGGGUUAAGUCCCGCAACGAGCGCAACCCUUAUGACUAGUUGCCAGCAUUUAGUUGGGCACUCUAGUAAGACUGCCGGUGACAAACCGGAGGAAGGUGGGGAUGACGUCAAAUCAUCAUGCCCCUUAUGACCUGGGCUACACACGUGCUACAAUGGAUGGUACAACGAGUUGCGAGACCGCGAGGUCAAGCUAAUCUCUUAAAGCCAUUCUCAGUUCGGACUGUAGGCUGCAACUCGCCUACACGAAGUCGGAAUCGCUAGUAAUCGCGGAUCAGCACGCCGCGGUGAAUACGUUCCCGGGCCUUGUACACACCGCCCGUCACACCAUGAGAGUUUGUAACACCCGAAGCCGGUGGCGUAACCCUUUUAGGGAGCGAGCCGUCUAAGGUGGGACAAAUGAUU
rnacentral:rRNA from 1 species